rnacentral:rRNA from 1 species
GAUGAACGCUGGCGGCGUGCCUAAUACAUGCAAGUCGAACGCUGGAGAUCUAGCUUGCUAGAUCGAAGGAGUGGCGAACGGGUGAGUAAUACAUAAGCAACCUACCCACGAAGACUGGGAUAAUCUCUGGAAACGGGGACUAAUACCGGAUAGGUAAUCGGAAGGCAUCUUCUGGUUAUUAAAGGUUAAAAACACUGGUGGAUGGGCUUAUGGCGCAUUAGUUAGUUGGUGAGGUAACGGCCCACCAAGACGAUGAUGCGUAGCCGGCCUGAGAGGAUGAACGGCCACAUUGGGACUGAGACACGGCCCAGACUCCUACGGGAGGCAGCAGUAGGGAAUUUUCGGCAAUGGGGGCAACCCUGACCGAGCAACGCCGCGUGAGUGAAGACGGCCUUCGGGUUGUAAAGCUCUGUUGUAAGGGAAGAACGGUAGAUAGAGAAUAUCUAAGUGACGGUACCUUACCAGAAAGCCACGGCUAACUACGUG